rnacentral:tRNA from 1 species
CAGAACAUAGCUUAUUAAAAGCACCUCGCUUACACCGAACUGUUGUCUGUUAAAACGGACUGCUCUGAG